CAUCCCCCGCAAAAAAACCUGACCGCCCACACAGGUCACCUGCAGGGACGGCGACUGGGACCGCCAACCAGGGCCGCCGCCGCCGCCCCGUUCGCGUGGAGAGGACAGUUGGUGAUAAAGCGUGACUGAAGAGUCCAGUUCCGGCAGUGCGAGGGUCCGGUGCCGCUCGCCGGCCCUCCACAGGGCGCCACGCGGAAACAAAGGCCGCGGCGCGGCGACAACCUUCCACAGAGACUCUGGUCUGGCAGUUCAAGGUGGAAAAUGUGACACUAAAAACACUGAAAUGUAACUACAUGUUUUCCACCGGAUGUCGUUUCUGAAGCGACCUGAGCAGCAGGAGGCCCACAGAGCAGGACGACUUCCUGAACCUCGCCUCAAAACACGGAAGCAGAAGUGAGCACGAGGCUGCAGCCCCCCCGCCGUGCCGCCCGGCCCCGCCCCCGCCCGGCCCCGCCCUCCAGGGCUUGCAGGGCCUCGACGUCCCCGUUCUUGGCGGCGGCGCAGGACAGCAGCGGGCUCAGCGCUUCCCGGAUGGCCUUCAGGUCCUGCAGACAGAACAUGGCGUGACUCCGCGCCGCCUCACUCUGGGUUCGGGCUGAAGUGGCGGCGGUGGCGGCGGCGGCGGCGCCCUCGCCUCGUUCUCGCUGGUGUUCAGAGCCUUGGCGACGGUCUGGAUGAAGUGGCUGUCGCGCAGCUGCAGUUUGACUCCGCCCAGGUCGGUGACCUUCUCACCUCGCAGGUUCUCGACCAUCAUCUGCGGCGGAACACACACACACACACACUCCGGAAAGUCACACGGAGGAGAGCCCUGCUGCCGCGCUCACCCCGAUGGACACACACACACACACACACACACCUUCUUCUGGGCGUCCCGGUCCAAGCCCGUCUUCGCCAGCACGUAGGACAGUUUGGACAGGGAGGCCUCCGGAGUCAUGUCGCCUCCAGAGAUCAGGCCGGCGUCCAUCAGCACCUGGAAACAAAACAGAAAGACCAGACGAUUCCUGUCAGCCGAUCUUACUUCCUCCAGGCGGACGGAGCCGUACCUUCC